AAUAAAGUGCCUGAUUUAAAAGGAUUAUUUUGAUAGAAUAAAUUAUGUGAAUUUCACCUUUAUUA
rnacentral:tRNA from 1 species